rnacentral:hammerhead_ribozyme from 1 species
AUUCAGCUUACGAGUCCCAAAUAAAACGAAACGCGCGUUCUGAAU